UUGUAAACAUUGUAGAUAAGCCAGCAUGCCACGAAUUUACAAACGGAAGACAACCUGGGGCCAAACACCCCUCAGUGAGUGGCAGAGGUGAUGGAAGGGAAGAUGUCGUUGAGGGAAGCAGCCAUGGAGAGGAGCAUUGACAAGACCACCCUGUAUAGAUUCAUUAAAAAAAAAAAGAGAGAAAGGCGAGGUCAAAACAGUAGGCUGGGGUGCUGUGGCCUCAGCAAAAAGGUUUUUUUCACCCAGCAUGGAGGACGAUUAGGCCAAUGAUUUUAAGAGGCUGGCAGAUCAAUUUCACGGUCUGGACCCAAUGAAGUGCUGUGAACUGGCAUUUGAAUUUGUCAUCAGAAAUAAAAUCCCCGUCCCUGAAAAUUGGACGAGAAAAGCAUGUGCAGGAGAGGAUUGGUUCACAAGUUUUCUUAAGCGGCACCACCUUUCGGUGAGAACCCCAGAGGCAACAUCACUUGGAAGGGUGACGGCCUUUAACAGAACGACAGUAGGAGAGUUCUUUGAUAACUUGGCUGCAGUCAUGGACAGGCACUCAUUACCCCCACACAUGAUAUAUAAUGUGGAUGAGACAGGAGCAUUUACCGUCCAAAAGCCCCGACAG